UCUAUCCUAUAUGGUUUUUUUUUCUUCCGGUUUUUACUUUCAAAAUGAUUUUUUUUUGUUCUUUUCUGGUUUAGUCAUGUACCCUUUUGGAUGAAUUAACAUGGGUGUGUGUUGGAUUUUGAGUUACAGGAACUAAAGGGUGCGUGUGGAUCUCUCGUGUUGGAUAAUUCAGCUUUAAAAUGCGAUGUCUCAUUUGUAUACUUUGUAUCUAUCACAAACACAGAUACAAAACCUCAAUUUAGUAUAAGAAUAGCUAUGAAAAUUGUCUAACCUUUUUCUACUUUAUUAUUGUAUAUAUAAAGAAUGUUUAUAAAAAAUUAUAGCCAUAGUUUUCUAAAAGAGGUCUUGUAUUGCAUAAUAUAGGUCACAACAAAGGAUGGAGGUUUUCAGUGGUAGUGAUAUAGCUCAAAUUUCUUGUAGUGAGGGUAUGUUGCGGCAUCAUUUGAAAUUUUGAGUGCCUUGAAUCUUGUGAAAGAAGAGGCCAAUGGAAGGUAGCAGCACAGUCCCAAGAACUUAUUCAAACCAUACAACAUUAUUACAACAAUACAUAUUUGGAUGGUACUAAAGCAAUUAAUAUGUCAACAUAUUACUUGUGGAAGUUCUAUUUGUCAUUGCAGCAAUGGAGUUCAUUUAUGGCUUUGGUCUCUAACUAUAACAUACAUAUUUGAUGGAAUCCACUGUUAUGCUUGGGUUUAGAUAAAAGAGGAUAGAAAUUGGACUUUGGCCAUGUUUGACUUUGUUGGAUGGUUCUGAUAUUACCUGAUUUGAAGGUAUUUAAUUGAAGUUCUCUCUUAUUCUCUGUCACCGAACGCAUAAGCUCUCUUCACCAUCACCAUUGCAUCACCUCAUCCCCACCGCACGAUCACUUCACCAACACAAAGGUUCUGGAUACCCCUUCACUUCAAGAUGACUUUUACUUGAAUCUUGUGGACUGGUCUUCACAAAAUAUUCUAGCAGUGGGACUGGGCACUUGUGUUUAUCUUUGGAGUGCUUCAAACAAUAAAGUGAGUAUGAACCUUUGAUUAUAACUAUAUGCAGACAUGAAAACAAAUGGGUAUAUGCCAACAAUGGUGGUGUUGACAAGACAACAGUUGCAAACAUUAUUGUAUGCAGAGAGGGAUCAAGUGCUUUUACUUCUACUCUUCAUUUGAAAGAUCAAGGACGUGAAUUUUGGCGUAUCAAUGGUGUCUUUUAUAUUUAGCUAGUUUUAUGAUUUUUGCAUCUCAUUGCUUAUCAAUGCUUAGCAAUGUAUUUAAUGCUCUGUAAUUCAUAUAUUGAUUAGUUUAAAUGCAAAUUGUAUUUGGAUUUGAAGAUAUCCAUUGUAUUAUACAGUAGUAACUUGUAAUUAGAUUUGAGUAGCAUAUUUUGUAGCCAA